GCUAGCGCGUGGGAGCGUGCGGUGGUAAUACGUAGGUGGGAUGCGUGUUCCGGGAUUAGUGGGCGUAAAGCUGGAGCAGGGUGUGUCUUAAGUCUGAUGUGAAAGCCCACGGCUCAACCGUGGAGGGGCAUUGGAAACUGGGAAACUUGAGUGCAGAAGAGGAGAGUGGAAUUCCACGUGUAGCGGUGAAAUGCGUAGAGAUGUGGAGGAACACCAGUGGCGAAGGCGACUCUCUGGUCUGUAACCGACGCUGAGGCGCGAAAGCGUGGGUAGCGAACAGGAUUAGAUACCCUAGUAGUC
rnacentral:rRNA from 1 species